rnacentral:rRNA from 1 species
UCAGAUUGAACGCUGGCGGAAUGCUUUACACAUGCAAGUUGAACGGCAGCACGGACUUCGGUUUGGUGGCGAGUGGCGAACGGGUGAGUAAUACAUUGGAACGUGCCCCGUCGUGGGGGAUAACGUAGCGAAAGCUACGCUAAUACCGCAUACGAUUUAAGGAUGAAAGCGGGGGGCCGUAAGGCCUCGCGCGAUUGGAGCGGCCGAUGGCCGAUUAGGUAGUUGGUGGGGUAAAGGCUCACCAAGCCGACGAUUUGUAGCUGGUUUGAGAGGACGACCCGCCCCCCUGGGAAUGAGACCCGGCCCCGACUCCUACGGGAGGCAGCCGUGGGGAAUUUUGGACAAUGGGCGCAAGCCUGAUCCAGCCCUUCCGCGUGCAGGAUGAAGGCCCUCGGGUUGUAAACUGCUUUUGUACGGAACGAAAAGGCUUUGGUUAAUACCUGGGGCUCAUGACGAAAAGGUAAGAAUAAGCCCCGGCUAACUACGUGCCAGC